rnacentral:rRNA from 1 species
UGAGGAAUAUUGGUCAAUGGGCGAGAGCCUGAACCAGCCAAGUAGCGUGCAGGAUGACGGCCCUAUGGGUUGUAAACUGCUUUUAUGUGGGGAUAAAGUGCGUGACGUGUCAUGCAUUGCAGGUACCACAUGAAUAAGGACCGGCUAAUUCCGUGCCAGCAGCCGCGGUAAUACGGAAGGUCCGGGCGUUAUCCGGAUUUAUUGGGUUUCAAGGGAGCGUAGGCUGUCUAUUAAGCGUGUUGUGAAAUUUACCGGCUCAACCGGUGGCUUGCAGCGCGAACUGGUCGACUUGAGUAUGCAGGAAGUAGGCGGAAUUCAUGGUGUAGCGGUGAAAUGCUUAGAUAUCAUGACGAACUCCGAUUGCGCAGGCAGCUUACUGUAGCAUAACUGACGCUGAUGCUCGAAAGUGCGGGUAUCAAACAGG